rnacentral:pre_miRNA from 1 species
UAUAGUGACCAAUCAUCCCGGUUUGCCUAAGACUGAGGAAUUUCCAGGGACAUCGGACAAUCGGUGCUAAAACUGAGAGAGUCCUAGGCAAACCGGCAUGAUUUGGUCACUCUAGUGCCAU